ensembl:lncRNA
CUGCAAUUUCUUGGCUGAUCUGACGGUGUGUUGGUGGCCCACGAUCAGAGAGAGCAAGGGAGUUUCAGAAUUUGGGGCUGCCAGAGGAAAAGGAGAAAUCCUCUUUGAACUUCCAAAACAUAACCACUUACAUUACGAAGGGUGUCAAAACAUUGUCUAACAGCCUGACAUGGAGUGAGUUUGGAGUGGGACUAUUUGUUUCUCAGUGAAAUUCAGAACAUUUGCAAAAGGACUUUGGAUGUCAUAGCUGAGUAAAAUUGACAUUAAAGACCAUGGACCACAACAUUUCCUGCAUCCAACAGAAAUAGCCAAAAUCUUCCAGAAGUACUUAAUGGAGGAACAAGUGCACUCAACUGUCUGUCUCUCACUCACACACACAUUUUGAGCUGGGAAACUGUGAGAAGUAAGGUCAAAAUGGCACACGCACCUGACAACACUCCAGCGUCUGUCAUCUCACCUCAACAGCAUCUCUUCUUCAUGUUGACAUGCUUACCGCUCCAUUUUACUGCCAUGUAUUGUAAGCAUAACACCACACAAAUGAACAUAUAAAUGCUUUAAUGAACACACAUUGGAAAACAUUAUAAGUAAAACUGG